CCUACGGGAGGCAGCAGUGGGGAAUCUUGCGCAAUGGGCGAAAGCCUGACGCAGCCAUGCCGCGUGAAUGAUGAAGGUCUUAGGAUUGUAAAAUUCUUUCACCGAGGACGAUAAUGACGGUACUCGGAGAAGAAGCCCCGGCUAACUUCGUGCCAGCAGCCGCGGUAAUACGAAGGGGGCUAGCGUUGCUCGGAAUUACUGGGCGUAAAGGGAGCGUAGGCGGAUAGUUUAGUCAGAGGUGAAAGCCCAGGGCUCAACCUUGGAAUUGCCUUUGAUACUGGCUAUCUUGAGUACGGAAGAGGUAUGUGGAACUCCGAGUGUAGAGGUGAAAUUCGUAGAUAUUCGGAAGAACACCAGUGGCGAAGGCGACAUACUGGUCCGUUACUGACGCUGAGGCUCGAAAGCGUGGGGAGCAAACAGGAUUAGAUACCCUGGUAGUCCACGCUGUAAACGAUGAGUGCUAGUUGUCGGCAUAGCAUNCAUGUCGGUGACGACAGCUACGACAUAANACACUCCGCCGUCGGGAGGUACGGUCGCGAGAAGUAAAACUAACAAAGAAAGUAGUACGGACGUGAGACGUAGCCGAACGGACGACCGACCGAACGGGAAGGAGGAGG
rnacentral:rRNA from 1 species